CCCUUAGACGUUCUGGGCCGCACGCGCGCUACACUGACCAGUGCAACAAGCAUCCGUCCUUGGCCGACAGGCUCGGGCAAUCUUUGAACGCUGGUCGUGAUGGGGAUAGACUUUUGCAAUUUUUGGUCUUCAACGAGGAAUUCCUAGUAAACGCAAGUCAUCAACUUGCAUUGAUUACGUCCCUGCCCUUUGUACACACCGCCCGUCGCACCUACCGAUUGAAUGGUCCGGUGAAGCCUCCGGAUUGGCGCGCACCUCGGGUGCUGCCGAGAAGUUGGCUAAACCUUACCAUUUAGAGGAAGGUGAAGUCGUAACA
rnacentral:rRNA from 1 species